CGUGCAAGCUGGCUUGUCGCUGUCUCGUAAUUCGGGAGAGAGGAAAGUCCGGGCAACAUAGAGCGCCAUACUUCCUAACGGGAAGGGGUCAAGUUGGUGACGGCUUGAUUACAGAAAGUGCCACAGAAAAUAUACCGCCUCGAUCCCGAUAGCUAUCGGGAUCGGGGUAAGGGUGAAAUGGUGGGGUAAGAGCCCACCGUCCCGCUGGUGACAUCGGGAGCAGGGUAAACCUUAUGGGUUGAAAGACCAAAUAGGUCCCGCACCAGAUUCAAUUCUGGAAAAGGCUGCUCGUCUUUCUGCGGGAUGGGUAGGUUGAUUGAGUCUGUCCGUGAGGGCAGAUCUAGAUAAAUGACAAGUAAUCCAAUUGCCUAGCAAUUGGAAGACAGAACCCGGCUUAUAGGCUUGCACUCUUU
rnacentral:RNase_P_RNA from 1 species